UUCAACAUGUUUUAAUAAAAAUUGGCAUGCACAUUAAAAUUUCACAACGACUUGGUGACUUCACUGUUUUUGUAUUGAUCCAGGUGAUACUUAUACAUAAAUAUGUACAUAUGUAUGUAUGUCAGUCAGCUGAAUACGAUCCAAAAAGUCAGUAUACCUUCUCGCUUAAUGAUACCUUCCACCGAAAAGGUAACACAUUAACUUCCUAUGUGUUGAAGUGAGACAAAAAGACUUAAAACGAAAAUCAAUAAAAGCGAUUUGACUGUGGAAUUUUCCCGACUUUUCCGAGCUGCACAGCCGACGUGUAUAAAUACAGCAACGCCAGUCGGCAUUCUAUCAUUUGUGUUUCAGUCGUACAGCAUAGUGUUUGAAAAUAUUAAAGAGUCAAAUUGUGAAAAAGUGUAUUGGUAGCUGAAAAAGUGUUUUAAUAGUGUGAACGAAGAAGAAAAUAGUUCUGUGGAAAUGGCUGCCGGAAAUUGGGCUUUAGUGAGGAAAUUGCAAAUACGGUUAGGCGAAGAACCGGGAGGCUAGCAGAGGCGACGUACAUAAAGAUGAGCUUUGAAAGAAAUCAAUGAGAACAAAUGAAAUCUAGGCACAGAGCCGAUUUUUGGAUGUUUUUUUCAAACACACUUGGCUGUCUAUUAGCUGUUACCGCGUACCCUAGUUACCAAUUAGGCAGGCUGAUUCGGUGAGGAAUCUAUGCUCAACAGACAGGCAGGCAGGCUUAUAACAUGGGCACCUACUUACUUAUGUGUUGGGAACAAUUGAGAGGCAGGCAUAAGACACAAUAUCGGGCAGAAAGCUGCGUUGAAAAAUGUCUGUGUAAAGUCUAGAACAUGAGUAAUCCAAUGGAUUUGGGAAAAUGAGUAAGUUGUUGGGCGUCUUUGAAAAGCAAUUUUGUCGUUUAUACUACUUCCGCUACAUGCAAACAUAAGUCUAUAACUAAAUGUUAUUGCAGUUUGCUGAAAAAAAAUGAAACACUACUCAGUUAUAAAGACAAUAAUUGACCAUAGGCGCAGAGCUCCUCGUUCGUAAUAAACUGAAGACAAAGCGAUAAGCCCAUCUACUACAAUAUCCAUAGUAUAUCUUCUUCGACAUUGUUGUUUCUUCUACUGCCAAAAAGGCCCUUGUCAUCGACGGUAGAGGAAUGUUAUGAUGCAGAAUUGGUAUUUGUUUUGUUCCACUUACUUACCUAGGAUAUACUGUUCAUAUAAAUAUAAAUAUACGUACGUUAAAAACCCCCAGUUUAGCACAAAUUGUUAAGAAACCUAACACAAAUAAUUUUUUUUUAAUAUAAAAAGCUUUGAAUUAUAUAUUUAAAAGGUUGAAAGAGUAAAUCAAAUAACUCCAUAUGUACAUGUGUCUUAAACCUACAUAAAUCAAACUUAUUGAAAUAUUGUUUUAUCGGUCUCUUAUAUAAUUAUGUUAAUACAAAAUUACUGCGUUAUUUAUCAUAUAUGACAAUACCAAUUUAUAUAAAUCAAAACCAAACACAAUGCAGAAAAAAAAACAAAAAAUAAGCUAAAAAAAAUUAAGAAAAGCAUUACAACGAAGGUAAAAAUAAAUAACUAUUCCUUCCCACUU